AUUGAACGCUGGCGGCAGGCCUAACACAUGCAAGUCGAACGAGUGGCGGACGGGUGAGUCAUGUCUGGGAAACUGCCUGCUGGAGGGGGAUAACUACUGGAAACGGUAGCUAAUACCGCAUACCAUCAGAUGUGCCCAGAUGGUAUUAGCUUGUUGGUGGGGUAACGGCUAACCAAGGCGACGAUCCCUAGCUGGUCUGAGAGGAUGACCAGCCACACUGGAAAUGCGACAGGGGCCAGACUACUACGGGAGGCAGAAGUGGGGAAUAUUGCACAAUGGGCGCAAGCCUGAUGCAGCCAUGCCGCGUGUAUGAAGAAGGCCUUCGGGUUGUAAAGUACUUUCAGCGGGGAGGCGUUACCCGCAGAAGAAGCACCGGCUAACUCCGUGCCAGCAGCCGCGGUAAUAC
rnacentral:rRNA from 1 species